CAGUAGCCGCGGUAAUACGUAGGUGGCAAGCGUUGUCCGGAAUUAUUGGGCGUAAAGGCUCGCAGGCGGUUUCUUAAGUCUGAUGCGAAAGCCCCCGGCUCAACCGGGGAGGGUCAUUGGAAACUGGGAAACUUGAGUGCAGAAGAGGAGAGUGGAAUUCCACGUGUAGCGGUGAAAUGCGUAGAGAUGUGGAGGAACACCAGUGGCGAAGGCGACUCUCUGGUCUGUAACUGACGCUGAGGAGCGAAAGCGUGGGGAGCGAACAGGAUUAGAUACCCCGGUAGUCCCUGUCUCUUAUACA
rnacentral:rRNA from 1 species